GAUGAACGCUGGCGGCGUGCCUAAUACAUGCAAGUCGAGCGAACAGACGAGGAGCUUGCUCCUCUGACGUUAGCGGCGGACGGGUGAGUAACACGUGGAUCACCUACCUAUAAGACUGGGAUAACUUCGGGAAACCGGAGCUAAUACCGGAUAAUAUAUUGAACCGCAUGGUUCAAUAGUGAAGGACGGUUUUGCUGUCACUUAUAGAUGGAUCCGCGCCGCAUUAGCUAGUUGGUAAGGUAACGGCUUACCAAGGCAACGAUGCGUAGCCGACCUGAGAGGGUGAUCGGCCACACUGGAACUGAGACACGGUCCAGACUCCUACGGGAGGCAGCAGUAGGGAAUCUUCCGCAAUGGGCGAAAGCCUGACGGAGCAACGCCGCGUGAGUGAUGAAGGUCUUCGGAUCGUAAAACUCUGUUAUUAGGGAAGAACAAAUGUGUAAGUAACUAUGCACGUCUUGACGGUACCUAAUCAGAAAGCCACGGCUAACUACGUG
rnacentral:rRNA from 1 species